UAAAUACUCCCUCCGUCCGGAAAUACUUGUCAUCAAAAUGGAUAAAAGGAAAUGUAUCUAGACGUAUUUUAGUUUUAGAUACAUCUCUUUUUAUCCAUUUUGAUGACAAGUAUUUUCUGACGGAGGGAGUAGAAA
rnacentral:pre_miRNA from 1 species